AUAGGAAUCAUCAAGGGAACUUUUUAAAAGGCAGAUUCUGAUUCGAUAGAUGUAGGAUGGAGCCUGAGAUUCUCUAUUUUUGACAAGUUCCCAGGUGAUGCCAAU
rnacentral:pre_miRNA from 1 species